rnacentral:rRNA from 1 species
UACGUAGGGCGCGAGCGUUGUCCGGAAUUAUUGGGCGUAAAGAGCUCGUAGGCGGCCUGUUGCGUCCGCUGUGAAAACCCGCGGCUUAACCGCGGGCUUGCAGUUGAUACGGGCAGGCUAGAGUUCGGUAGGGGAGACUGGAAUUCCUGGUGUAGCGGUGAAAUGCGCAGAUAUCAGGAGGAACACCGGUGGCGAAGGCGGGUCUCUGGGCCGAUACUGACGCUGAGGAGCGAAAGCGUGGGGAGCGAACAGG